UUAAUUAAAACCAAAAAGAGGUAUAUUAUUGUUAAUAAUAAAAUUGAAUUUAAAUAAUUCUAAUUAAA
rnacentral:tRNA from 1 species